AUACGUAGGUGACAAGCGUUAUCCGGAUUUACUGGGCGUAAAGGGCGUGUAGGCGGUCUUGCAAGUCAGAAGUGAAAUUCCUGAGCUCAACUCGGGCGCUGCUUCUGAAACUGCAGGACUUGAGUGCUGGAGGGGAUAGCGGAAUUCCUAGUGGAGCGGUAAAAUGCGCAGAUAUUAGGAAGAACACCGGUGGCGAAGGCGGGUCUCUGGGCAGUAACUGACGCUGAGGAGCGAAAGCAUGGGUAGCGAACAGGAUUAGAUACCCUGGUAGUCCAUGCCGUAAACGAUGAAUACUAGGUGUAGGGGGUAUCGACUCCCUCUGUGCCGCAGUUAACACAAUAAGUAUUCCGCCUGGGGAGUACGGCCGCAAGGUUGAAACUCAAAUGAAUUGACGGGG
rnacentral:rRNA from 1 species